rnacentral:misc_RNA from 1 species
GAUGAAGAACGCAGCGAAAUGCGAUACGUAAUGUGAAUUGCAGAAUUCAGUGAAUCAUCGAGUCUUUGAACGCACAUUGCGCCCCCUGGUAUUCCGGGGGGCAUGCCUGUCCGAGCGUCAUUGCUGCCCUCAAGCACGGCUUGUGUGUUGGGCCUCCGUCCUCCUCCCGGGGGACGGGCCCGAAAGGCAGCGGCGGCACCGCGUCCGGUCCUCGAGCGUAUGGGGCUUCGUCACCCGCUCUUGUAGGCCCGGCCGGCGCUUGCCGACACAUCAAUCUUUUUUCCAGGUUGACCUCGGAUCAGGUUGGGAUACCCGCUGAACUUAAGCAUAUCAAUAAGCGGAGGA